rnacentral:rRNA from 1 species
UACGUAGGUGGCAAGCGUUGUCCGGAUUUACUGGGCGUAAAGAGCGCGCAGGCGGUCGUUCAAGUCGCGUGUGAAAGCCCCCGGCUCAACUGGGGAGGGUCACGCGAUACUGAUCGACUCGAAGGCAGGAGAGGGUAGUGGAAUUCCCGGUGUAGUGGUGAAAUGCGUAGAUAUCGGGAGGAACACCGGUGGCGAAGGCGGCGACCUGGGUAGAUACUGACGCUGAGGUGCGAAAGCGUGGGGAGCAAACAGG